ensembl:lncRNA
CUGCAAGCUUUUCAAAAACAGCUAAAUCCUGACUUUCCAAGACCAAGAAAGGGAAGCAUCUUUUCACUUUUGUGUCUCUUUAAAUAUUUAUUAUGUGAAUUAUUAUGCAAAUAAUGUUAAAGAAAUUUUACUACUCUGUUUAUCUACUAAACCAUAGAAAAUUACUAUUUGAAGAUCAAGAAGGAAAUACAAAAUAAAUAAAUAAAUAAAUAGAAUCCAAGGUAACAGUGUAAAUAAACAGUAGAAAAUUACUAUGGAAGGAGGAAAAAUACUGGCUUCUCUCAGAAGACAUUAAAACUGGUUCUACAAGAAAAGAUUGUGCUCUGAAUUCCUUGUUAAUAUCCACUCUUGCAAUUUGUGCUAUAAGAUCAGAUUUAUAGUCUUUGGGAAAGGUAUAAAUAUAUAUAUAUAUAUAUAUAUUUCUUAUUUUAUGACUCAGCCUAAUGUUUUAUUUUAUUUUUUUUCACAGCAACCCAUAGAUUGUGGAAAGUCUUCAGUAAAACCAGGUGGCUUCCUGGCAUAAUGUAAUUACAAUAGCCAGUAAAGGUAUGCAUGUCUAUAUUCUUCCAGCUUCAAUAUGCUUCCUCAGAAAACAAAAAAUCAGCACAACCUUAGACAAAUUAUCUGGAGAUGCUUUUUUUUUUUUCCAAAAAUCCUACCUUAAGAAGAACAUAUUGAGGAGACAACGUAACUUCCAGAGCAGAAAGUUGGACAGGGUGGAGACACCAUUGCCAUAAAACUUCAUUCAAAGCAGAUAAUUUUUCUGAAUUACUUUACUGGAUUUAAGGUCUUAAAUGUUAAGCUCAUCUUCUUUCCUGAGCCAAAGCAUUCUCUCUGAAUCUUAAUCUAUGUAUCUCAUCUCUGUGAAAGACAAAUAACAACAUAUUUUCCUUUUAGCUUUUAAAUUAUUUGUAGCAAAUUCAGUUGAAUACAAUGGGGUGCAGAUCUGAAGAGACCUUGAAUGUUAAUAGUAUGGAUUGUAUUAUUAAACUACAGUAGAUUGACAUAAUUUUAUGUAACUUAAGAACUUAGAGAAGUUCUUAAAGAAGAACUUAAAGAAGUUCCUAAAGAAUAACUUAAAGAAGACAGAGCAAAGCAGCGUAAAAAGCAAGAAUGACAGAACUGUGAAAAAUAUUGGUUUGUUUUCAAUUAAUUGAAUGAAUGCUUCAGCUUCAGCUUAUGUUUUGUUAAACAUAAAUAUUUUUUCAUGUUGAGAAAAAGCAUUAGCUUCUUAGAAGACUUAGAAAAUGAGUAAAGCAAAGUUUUCAAUAAUGUGAUUCUAUCAUGGAGAGUUUGACCAUGUUUUAAUUUACCAGUUUCCCACCCUCUUAACCCAAAGUAAAAAAUAACAGUUAAAAGUUUGUUUUCAACAACUGAAACAAGUUUUUCCUCCCAUAGCAUUGACUGCAUGACUUGUACAGUAUAGGUAGUAUGCUACAUUGACUACCCAACUUUUCAGAGCUAAAAGAAAAUGUAUUAUGUGUUUUUAAGAAAAUUCAGAAAGUUCUCCUCAGCAAUGAGGGAUUAUAAUCAGGUACAUCAUAAUUAUGAAAAGAAUCAUUUUUAUUCAAUAUUGCUCAAGAACCAUUGAGCUAUAUUUGCAAAUAUGUCUGCAUGUUACUCAUUCAUAAUCAGAAAAUACAUUGGGUCAGUUGAAGCCUGCUUUUGGAAGGCAAAUGCCUUUUUUUUUUUGUAAGGAAAUUAAUGGCUCAGAAAGACUAAGCUAAUAAAGACUUAGCUAUUGUAAAUGUUUUUUUACA